UUGGAGAAAAUAUUCAGUGGGAAGCAAACACCACGUCAUCAUCUGACGUGGUGUGCAUGUCCCAUUCAUUGGUUGACACCUGGCCACUAAAAUCCCAAUCAACUAAAUUUUAGGUUAGGUUUUAAAUCGCUCACAAAAUUUUAGUUUCCCAGAGAAAGUUCAAAUUUUUAAUUUCCUAUUAUAGUCUCUCGUCCACCUCUUCCUCCUAAACUAGAUCUAGACCAAGAUCGAUUCUGCAACUGGUUUUCUGCUCCGACUAGGAUCGAUCUACAUGGAUUCAAGUAAUUUCCUAUGAUAGUCUCUCGUCCACCUCUUCCUCCUAAACCAGAUCUAGACCAAGAUCGAUUCUGCAACCGGUUUUCUGCUCCGACUAGGAUCGAUCUACAUGGAUUCAAGAGAUUUAUCUUUCUAGCAGCAUAUUUGGAUCUUGACAUCUUCGCCAUCGUUAUCAUCUUCCUCAACUCGACGUCGAUAUUGACUCCUCCUCCGCUGAAGGUGUCGAGAUGAUUUUUUCGAUUUGAGUUCUGCAAUUGCAGGUUCUGGACCCUAAAUCCUUGUACAAGCAUGAAUUCAUUCUCCUGAAGCGUCUGUUGGGCACUGCAGUAGCACAACACAUAGAGUCCUUGUAAUAUUUAAUUUCAGAAGCACAUAGGUUCUGGGUAGCACGUAUAGUACUUGUAAUUUUUGAUAUUUGGAGAGUUGUUCUUCUUGUUGGUUGGGUCCUUGUAAUUUUUGGCUUCCCUUGUACAUUUACUUGAAUCAUUGAGAGCAAUAUUUGGAGAUUUGUUCCUACUGUUGGUUGAGUUCUUUUAAUUUUUGGUUUCCCUUGUACAUUUACUUGAAUCAAUGAGAACAAUAUUUGAUCAUAUUAGGUGUAUAUGAUCAAGUCAGCUGCUUCAUCCA